GUUAGAUCCGGGCCAUCAGCGGGGGUAAGACGUAGGGUGCAAGCGUUAUCCGGAUUUAUUGGGUUUAAAGGGUCCGUAGGCGGGCCCGUAAGUCAGUGGUGAAAUCUCGCAGCUUAACUGUGAAACUGCCAUUGAUACUGCGGGUCUUGAGUAAAUUUGAAGUGGCUGGAAUAAGUAGUGUAGCGGUGAAAUGCAUAGAUAUUACUUAGAACACCAAUUGCGAAGGCAGGUCACUAAGAUUUAACUGACGCUGAUGGACGAAAGCGUGGGGAGCGAACAGGAUUAGAUACCCCGGUAGUC
rnacentral:rRNA from 1 species